rnacentral:rRNA from 1 species
AACGUAGGACGCAAGCGUUAUCCGGAGUUACUGGGCUUAAAGCGUGCGUAGGCGGCUGAGAAAGUUGGGUGUGAAAUCCCUCGGCUCAACCGAGGAAUUGCGCUCAAAACUACUUGGCUUGAGAGAGUUAGAGGUGAGCGGAACUAAUGGUGGAGCGGUGAAAUGCGUUGAUAUCAUUAGGAACACCGGUGGCGAAAGCGGCUCACUGGGGCUCUACUGACGCUGAGGCACGAAAGCUAGGGUAGCGAACGGG